ACACAAGGAGGGUGGAGGAGAUGGUGAGGAGAACUAGAGAAUUGACAAUGUAAGAAGUGAACUUUUGCGCGUUGAGGAAGAAGGAGAAAAACGCGUUGAAGGCCAAUUGAGAUGCACAAAUGAGGGUAAAAGUAGAUACAGGAAGGUAAGAUAGUCCUACGGAAUACAAGUAGCAGUCUAGGGCUAUUAGGAUGCCAAGAGAGACAUAUACUGAUGCGAGAAUUUUGGUAGACGGUGAUUUUGAUGGGAUAGGACUAUCUUUUGGGAUUGGAUUAUUUCUGCUUGCUGGGAUGCAAUAGUAGGGAAGCAUGAUUGGAAAGCCACAAAGUUGUACUACUGUUGCCAUCCAUUUACUUUUGGCGCCUUUGUCAUAGUACUGUCUUCCCAAGAAUGUUGCAAUUGACUGGCCGGCAAUGACAAGGAACGAGUAAAUGGCGAUUCUAAUCCACCAGUUGACACUUCUGCGCUGCGGUAGCAGUGAUCGGUCGGAGACAUGUGUAGGCCCUGAUAAGUUUGCUUCCCUUUCUCCAUUUCCUUCCUUAACUAUAAGAACAGAGACAAGGGAUCAGUAUUGAAACUUAUGAUAAUAACAAGGUUGGGAUUUUGUAGAAUUCUCCCCCCAUAGCCACCCCAACUUGUAAUUUUUAUGACUCAUAAAUUACAAUAAGAAUAUAACUCACUUCUCAUAAUUUGAUUCGCUUAACACAUAUCAUUUGAAAGUUCUAGAUAGAUUGGUCCAUAGUGUUAUCCAGGUAAAUGAACAACUGGAUAUGCGGCCAAGAAUUCCGGUGCAUACUGAAUAAACUUUAUAUCAGUUGCUUUAUAUACUCAGAAAAUAUCAUAUUGAAUAGAAGUAGACUUACCCCCGAUGCUGAGUUGAAGUUCUUGAGCUUCUCCCAUGUCAAAGAUGAAAAUACUCACAAUUGAGGAGAGAGAGAGAGAGAGAGAGAGAGAGAGAGAGAGAGAGAGGUCACUCACAUAAGUUUAGUAAAUGACAUGCAUGCAAUUUCGGAAUAGAUAUUUCCAACUGAAAGUUAUAAUAGCUAGCUUGUAUUAUUGUUGCUUAUUUAUAUUUUUUGUAUCCUCAGAAACUGCAAGUUACAGACAGUAUCAUCACAUUCAUGAAUAAUAUACGGACCAAACUGGAUCAUUCGUUUUUGUUUGAUACACGACUCUACCUCUUUUCAGACGGUUGAUAUUAUCGAAGAAACAAGAUAUUGAUACUUCCCUUUUUCGGCCCCGCAACGCGUACGUAUAUUAUGAACACUCCUUAUACAGUAUAGCAUACGUGGUAAAUAGCGGUGGCCUAAAGUUUUCAGUUUCAAAGAUAUAUAGUAGUAUUUACUUACUUGAAACGAAGAAUCAUCAAACAUAUAUACUCCUUCUGAAAGAACUAUGAGAAUAUCAACCUCCAAAGUUGGCCUCUUCUAGGCAGUAGACUAGUAGUUGAUCAUGUUCUGAGCUUCAUUUUUCGGAAUAGGAUCCUCUCACAGGGAUUUGGAUGAUCAAUUAAUCAUGUCCGUUCAUCAUAUAUCGUACGGUUAUAAAUCAUUUUAAUUUUUAAUUUAAAAUUAAAUAUAAAUAGUAUUUAACAAAAACUGAUCGCACGAUGUACGACAAAUGAAUACGAUUGAUUGAUUCCAGGAUCUCUACAAAACGAAUCCAAAGAGGAUCCUUGUCCUCACUUUUCCAACUAAGAAUCAUCAAAGAUUCAAAUGUAAAUCCUCCUUCCGAAAGCGCUAAAAGAAUAUCAACCUCCAAAUUUGGCCUCUUGUAGGUAGUGGACUGGUAGUUGAUCAUGUUCUGAGCUUCACCUCUCCAACUCAAGAAAAAUCACUCAUUAAAUUUCAAGACAACAGCUUGUAGACUUCUAGGGUUCCUACUAUAUGUCAAAUCUUGAUUAUUGCAGUGAAUGAUAAAUCACAAAAGAAAUCUGCUAAUCUUUGCUUCCAGCAAGUGCAAUAUUUUUUUAUUAUAUACAUUGGAGAUAAUUCAACUGUAAUCAGAGUCUUGCCUUAAUGCAAACAAAGAAUCAUGUCAGAAGAUUAUUUAUAUUUUGUAAGUGUGGUUGUUCAUGAUUGUGCUUAUUCUCUAUUUGUACGUAUCAAAUAAUUUACAAAUGUGGUAUAAAAAUAAUAAUCUUCCUACUGUAAGAAAAAAAAUUUAUAUAAAACUAGCAAAGUGACUCAGUUGUUUCUCAAUAUUUAUUUAUUUUUAUACGUGCAAAUUGACUUUCUACCCAGAAGAAUAAUAAUAAAUAAAUAACAUCGUGAUAUUCAUUAUUUUAUGAACAGUGUCAAGUCAUCAUCAUGCCCUAGCCAACCUUAUCCAAUAAUUGAUGAAAUUUCAACUGAGAUGGCUACGAUUGUUUGUAGUCAUGGGUCCAUGGCUUACUAGUUCAUCAACUACUAGCUACCAGCACAAAACAUCAUAAUUAUAUCAUAGACAUCACAAUAGUAGUGAGUUAAAGUCAGUUUGACAGAUUUUACAACCAUCAACAACAUACGACGCGUAUUACAUACAUACAAAUCUUAGAUUAAGUAAGAUUCUAUAUCAUUAUAUUUGUUUAGGUCUUGAAAUGCAAAAGCAAAAUCCCUUCAACUAUUUCCAUUUUUGUUCUCUAUCUUGGACUUAGGAUCAUCAAGGUAGUGCUGGUAAACAUAUGAAAUUAAUCCCCAAAUGGCCAAAAACAAGGCCAUUGCCUUAAUCCCGUCCAUUUUGUCAUGGAAGAAAAUCACAGCUACAACUGGAACAACCGGCAAACCCACAACAUUAAUGGCAUUGGAGAAGAGAGAAGAUGCCUCAAAAACAAGUUCAUGACAUAUGAUACCUUCCCUAAUUCGUACCCCUCCAUCUUGUUCCUCAAACCCUUCCACUCUCCGCUACCGUAAAGUCCCACCAAGACGGCGCAGGUAACAACAAGAGACUGAUAUUGUAAAACCCCUCCCCAAAUUCUUUGUAAUUUUGUACCAAAUAUUGAUGAAAUGACAAUUUUACCCCCAUAAUCCUACCCUAUCCGGAUCCCUUUUCAGAUUUCUCUCAUCUCUUCAUCUGCCACAUGGCAGCCCACUAACUCAUCCCUAUCUCUCUCUCUCUCUCUCUCAUUCCCCCGAGUCAACACUCUCCUUUCUCUCUCUCAGCUCAACUCUAUCUCUCUCACACACUCACACUCUCUCGAACCUUUUCCCUCUCAUUUUCCCGGCAACACCCAACCACCCAACGACCUCACCAUAACCACCAGCCUCCCGAGGACCUUCCCUCCCUCUCCAUCAUCUCUGUGAAGCUCCGGGGCACCCAGAGGACACCCAACCCAGGUCCAGCGAGCCUGCGAGUCUUGAGCAAAGAUCCGAACACCAUUCGAUGUUAUCAAGGUACAAAAUUCUUUCCCCUCGUCCGUACCUUCUUUUUGGUAGUUAGAUUGUAGGGUUUAGUGGUCAAACGAUGAUGACCGGAGCUCGAGAGGCUUUGGCUUUCUUCCUCGGCGAGAAACGGGCCGGCUAGACCUAACCCAUGGAGCCCAAACCCUUUGAAAGCCGAAAACCAAAACCCUUGUUAGUUUAGGCCUUUGGGCUGUAUAGGACUCGGGCCUUAGGACCGUUGACCCCAAAUCCAAACCCAUUGAGUUUUUAUUUAUUUUAUUUAUUUUCUUUUUAAAAACCCAAAGGCAAUUGAGCCGGGCUUUCAAGCCCAAGCCCCUUAUAUGCAACCCAUGGCCCCUGGCCCGUUGAACCCAAAACCCUUUUCCCUUGGGCCGGGUUACUAGCCUACUGACCCGAAGCCCAAGCCCACUGAACCCAAGCCCAAACCUAUUGGACCCAAGCCCAAGAACCCAGGCCCAAAUCCGGUCCAACCUAGUAGCCUAGCCGCACGUGGAGCACAUGCGCCACUGUCUACGGUUGCUCCGGCGACUUUUCCAGUGACCCACGGUGGCGCGUGGCCGCUGGAGCCGCCACCUUGCGGCGGCGCGUCGGGGUACCCGAGGUCCCCCUUUAUGUUUUCCAACGUCUUGAAUCCUUUUAUGAUGUUCAUUUUUCGAAAUUCAAUUGUUUGAGUAUAGUUUUAUUAAUUGAACCCUUCAUGUGCUUAGGUGCAAUUAUUAGCGGCGUUUCCGUCCUUCCUAUUUUGUACGGCUCUUCGACGACGGAGUAUCUGUGAGUGGACCCCUUCUAAAAUGCAUGUUUUAAUAGUUGAAAUGCAUACAUGAAAAUCAUGAUUUAAUGGUUACGGUUAUGAAACGUUUUAUAAGUAAAUUGGAUUUACAUUAUAUGAUUAUCAUGCUUACUGAGAAUAUUUUGGAAUACCAUACUUUAUCGAAAUUAUGUUCUUUGUAGUAUAUAUGAUGGAUGACUAUAUACUAUUUAUGAACAUGUUUUUACACUUCUUUGUAAUAUAUAUCAUGGAUGACUAUAUGCUAUGAAGAUGUUUUGAGUUAUAUGUACCUAUGUUUGGAAAGACUAUGUUCAAUGAUUUUGUGCGUAUCUAGUGGUCACUAUUCUACCUACGGGCGAGGGAGAUAUAUGUAGAUGGCUUCGGGCCGAGAGAUACGUACUGGCUUCGGGCCGAAAGAUACUAAUAUUGAUACCACUAGUUAGCACAUUACAUACAAGAUAUGUUUCAUGAAAGGUUUUAUGGCAUGCUAAGGUUUUCAGAAAACCUAUUACAUAUUAUGCUAUUGAGUUUUCAUAAAACUUUGGGGGUUAGUACGUUGAUAACUGUUUCAGUAUUAUAUAUAUAUAUAUAUAACUUGGUCCACUCAUGUUUGUUUUGCGCCCCCUCAGGACAUAAGAACAAAGCGUACAAUUCGAGCUACGAGGCAUUCCCCUACCAGUGAUAUCGUGCCAUCAUCUCUGCUUUGACAUCAUUGUAAUAGCAUCUUCCGUUGUAUUUUGAAUUAGAUGUAUGCUCUGAACAUGUUAUGCACUAUCACUAUCUUCACGCAGAAAUGAAUAGUCACUUCUUAGUUUGAACGAAAUUUAUACGCAUGAUUUACAUGUUCUCAGCAUAUGCAUUCAUUAAAUGACUUGUGUCACCCUUGAAUGUCGGCCAGCACGUGGCCAUCCCGAUGUCCCUCAGACAUUGGGAUCGGGGCGUGUCAGAUAUACACUAUCAUAUCCAUGACCACUCUAAAUGUCCCUCCUUAUAACUUUUCUGAAGACGAGCUGCGAUAGAGAAAGCGUUAAUGAGCAUUCAGCUGAUGCGCCAAGGGUACAUAUGAACCCGUUUGGAUACUUUGCUUUUGAUCCUCCACUUGAAUCGUCUGUAGAGUCACCUUGGAGCACGAGGAGGGUUGAGGAGAUGGUGAGGAGGACUAGGGCAUUGACAAUGUAAGGGGUGAACUUUUACGAGUUAAGGAAGAAGGAGAAUAGCGCGUUGAAUGCCAAUUGGGAUGCGCAAAUGAGGGAAUAAGUAGAGACGGGAAGGUAAGAUAAUCCAACCGAGUGCAAUAAGCAGCGCAAGGCUAUUUGAAGGUCAAGAGAGACAUAAAUUGAUGCAAGGAUUAAAGUCGAGGGUUCUUUUGAUUCGGUAGUAGUACUAGUAUUAAUGUUUGUGGUUGGAUAUUUUCUUUUUGUUGGGAAGAAAUAAGACGGAAGGAGGAUAGGGAAGCCAGCAAGUUGUACUAGGGCUCCCAGCCAUUUGCUUUUGCCACCUUUGUCGUAGUAUAAUCUUGCCAUCAGUCAUUGCAGCUGAUUGGCCGGCAAUGACAAAGAGCGUAUAAAUGGCCAUUCUAAGCCACCAGUUGAAGGUUCUACGCACGGGAAGCAGUGAUUGUUCGUGAACAUCUGUGCACCCUGAGGAGUUUGCUUCAUUUGAGUCAACUGAUAAAUAGAAGAAAAAGAUAAGGAUCAGUAUUUGAUCAAAUGUCUGUUUUUUGUUCUACUCAAUGCGUUAACACUUCGGCACAGCCAGUAACUGUAAAUUCACGGAAUUAUGAAUGUCAGUAGUAAGAUCGCGUACAAUUAAACUCAUUCUCUAUACACGUAUACAUUGAUUAAUACCCUUUUGCAAUAGCAAGGUAUUAUUCCCGAAUUCCGCUGUAUAUGCACUUAAAAGUUAGAAGAAGAAAAAAAAAAUCAUACCUGCAAUAUUGUUGAGUUGCACAUCUUGAGGUUCUCCCAUGCCAGAGGUGAAGAAACUCUCUCAAAUGAAUGAGAGAGAGAGAGAGAGAGAGAGAGCUUAUUUGAGCUGAUCAGAUAAAAACUUGGCCACGUAAUUUUACGUAAAUGUGGAGUGGGUUGUGCGUCAUGUAACACGGCAAUGAAGAAAAAGCAAGUAGGAAAAGCAUGCAACCCAGAAGUAGGAGUGGAUUCGUCGGGUUUCUCCAACUGACACUUUUGAAUCUGUUGUCAUUUUUCUUUGUUAGGCCUUUUUCCAUUUUGUAUGCUGUUAUGAAUUUCGGGAUAUUUCAAUUCGUGAGGUGAUAUUGGAAAUGUGCAGGUUGUGGGGAUUAGAUGGUCGUCUGUGUUCCAUGUUGAGAAAAUAGCAAGAGUGCAGAGGCUCUCCGUGAGCGCCUUGCUUCUUUACAAGUUACAGAUAGCGGAUUAAUUCUCUGUCCAAUGGCCUCAGCUACAGAAGAAAUAUCCCCGAGCUCACUAUGUUGGUUGUCUCAUGUAGUUGAUCCGAUUCUGCUGCUACUGUGCGUGCUCUAACAUCCAAGUUUUCACAAUUUAAUUAACGUGCGUUUCUCAAGGUUUUAAUUUCUACAGUUUAUUUAAUUUGUUUCGUCAAACAUAGUUGCCAACAUUUUAGCUUCUUACCAAUUAAAGAAUAGACUGAUAUCAUUGCAUCGAUGAGGAAAGUGUAAAGAUUGUUGAAAUUUAUAGUACUUGUUGGGGCAUACCUGAGAUCAAAAGUUAUGCAAUAUUGGCUUCAGCUUGUAGUUUUGUAUGCUAGAUAAUUUAACAGUGAUCCCAUUCUAGUUUAUCGAAAUUAACUAGGCAUUCUCCUUAUGAGUUCACACUUCAUUUGAUGCUUCGGUAUAUAUGUGGGACUCGUAAUGUUUCAAAAUGUUACUGUUUCUUCAUACUGAAGGCAUAGCUCUAAUUCGUAAAUCCAGCAUGCGGAUUGAUAAAGUUGGAUUAGUUAUGUUUAAUGUACACACGUUUGUUACAUUCAAACUUGUGGAUUAGUUUUAGUGAAACUCCUAUAACAUUAAGAUAUGGCAAAACUCUUAUGUCCAACGAAAAGAAAAUUCGACAACAUAAUCCGAUAACUACUGCAGGACAAAAAAGAAAUUAAGUAUCGUCCGUGUCUUAUAUAACUCCUUGAAGAUUAUAUGAACACAAGUUCGGAUUAAACUUCACGGUGAAAGACAAUGGCCAGAACUUUUACUGAUCAUUGAUGGAACAAAAAGGUCUAGGUGAAUUGGUGAUGGAUGUCUAGUUGUCCAUCUUAUUACUCGCUCGGCGGUUGACCUCUUUCGGUAAAGGAAUUGUUGAAAUUUCUCUUACAUGUUUUGUUUCAGCCUUGGACUCUGAAUCAUCGAGGUAGUGCUGAUAGACAUAUAUAUGAAGCAAUGCCCCAGAGGGCCAACACGGUGGAAAUAACCUUUAAUCCGUCCAUGUUAUCAUUGAAGAAGAUUACAGGCUUUACAGCUAGAACUGGAAUGAAAGGCAAGCCGGAAGCACUUAUGACAUUGGAGAAUAAAGAAGACACCUCAAAAAUCAAUCCAAUGAAUAGCGUUAGAUGGUGAUAUACGCACCACCGGCUAAAAUCUCUGGGCUGAGAAAUUAACUGGUAUGAAACACAUAUUUGGAUUACCAUCGAGGUAGCUUCAUGUAUGAUUUAUUCAUCAAUAAAAUAAUUUUUUAUUUUUUUUACUAGCAUACAAAUAUAAUCGAUCUGUGAACUCCUCCAUUGCAGAUAUGUGCUAUAAUCCUACUGCUACAGAGUUAAUACAUCGGAACGAUUUUCCGAUUUUAUGCAGAGAAGCCACAUAAAACAUGAAAACCAGAGUGAAGAAUCUUAAAGUGAUGUGGGAGGUAGAGAGAGAGAGAACAUUCAAGUGGAAAGCAAUAGCCUUUCAUAAACACAAUAAGGCCUGUAAUUCUUUUCUUUUGCAUAAAACCAGAGAUGAUCUACAAACAGACCUCUCUAUUCAAUCAUUUAAAGCUUUUGAAACUUCAACAUUCCCGGAAUUUCUAUUCUCCGUCUUGGACUUACGAUCUUCGAUGUAGUGAUGAUACGCGUACGAAACAAAUCCCCAAAUACCCAAAACCAUGGCUAUUCCCUUAAUUCCACUCAUUUUUUCAUGGAAGAAGAUCACAGCUAGAACUGGAACAGCAGGCAAACCCAAAGCACUUAUGGAAUUGGAGAAGAGGGAAGAGGCCUCCAGAAUCAAGCCCACCGAUCCAACAGAAACAAGCUGCCAUGCUAUUGCUGUCCACAUCACAUUCAUCACAUAGGAUAUCUUCCCUAAUUUAUACCCCUCCAUCUCACCCUUCAAAUGUUUCCACUCUCCGCUAGCGAAAAGUCCGACCACGGUUACACAGGUUGCAACCAGAUUUUCACACACUACCAUGUCCAUGACCGCUCUAAACGUCUCCUUUUUUAUAACCCUUCUGAAGACAAGCUGAGUUAGGGAAAGAAAUAAUCCGAAUCCAGCUGAUGCCCCUAAGGUGCAUAUGAACCCAAUUGCAUACUUUGCCUUCGAUCCUGCACUUGGAUCAUCGCCUCCAGAGUUGUCUUCGCCUUGGAACACGAGGAGGGUGGAGGAGAUGAUGAGGAGAACUAGAGAAUUGACAAUGUAAGAAGUGAACUUUUGCGCGUUGAGGAAGAAGGAGAAAAACGCGUUGAAGGCCAAUUGAGAUGCACAAAUGAGAGUUAAAGUAGAUACAGGAAGGUAAGAUAGUCCUACGGAAUACAAGUAGCAGCCUAGGGCUAUUAGGAAGCCAAGAGAGACAUAUACUGAUGCGAGGAUUUUGGUAGACGGUGGUUUUGAUGGGAUAGGACUAU
rnacentral:lncRNA from 1 species